rnacentral:rRNA from 1 species
GUGGGGAAUAUUGGACAAUGGGCGCAAGCCUGAUCCAGCCAUGCCGCGUGAGUGAUGAAGGCCUUAGGGUUGUAAAGCUCUUUCAGUGGGGACGAUAAUGACGGUACCCACAGAAGAAGCCCCGGCUAACUUCGUGCCAGCAGCCGCGGUAAUACGAAGGGGGCUAGCGUUGUUCGGAUUUACUGGGCGUAAAGCGCACGUAGGCGGAUUGGUCAGUUAGAGGUGAAAUCCUGGAACUCAACUCCAGAACUGCCUUUAAUACUGCCAGUCUAGAGUCCAGAAGAGGUGAGUGGAACUCCUAGUGUAGAGGUGGAAUUCGUAGAUAUUAGGAAGAACACCAGUGGCGAAGGCGGCUCACUGGUCUGGUACUGACGCUGAGGUGCGAAAGCGUGGGGAGCAAACAGGAUUAGAAACCCUAGUAGUCC